GUCUGACCAAAAUUCACGCAGAGACCGAGGUUCCCAGGAGGCAGCUUUUAGAACCCCGACUCUUCAAGUGACGGCUUGACGACGCGGCGAGCGAUUUAAAGAAAACCGCUGCACAUCUGCUUUGGAUUAAGACGGCACUCGUGAAGAAGUCAAGCCUAAGCCAGUAAACUUGCUCAACGUUGGGGCCCGAUGAUUUAGUGCCGUACCUCUAGCAUGUGAUGGGGCCCAUUGAGUAAGCAUCUGGAAGCCAAAUCUGCUCAUUUUCUCUUCCAAACAGAAAAGAGCCACGUGUGCUACCCCCAAGGUGAACCCCCUUUUUUUCUGGGUUGUCACAAAGCUGCUGCAGUUUCCACUGCCAACAGUAGGCACUGCAAUUGACUUCAAAGCGGACAAACGACGCACAGUGGUGUCUCGUUGCCUUGAGAUAGAAGUGACCCACCUGACAAAAUCUGAGCCAUCAUUGCACUGAUCAUUUGCUUUGACUUCUUAGAAAAAAAAUUAAUACAAUUCUGAUACAAACGCUGUAUGGUAGCAGUGAACGCAACUCAACCGACAAUAGGCAGCAGUUUGUCACACAGUGAACAAUUCUUACAAAAAGAGGCUUCAAACUUGAGUUUACUGUCGAGCUACAUGUUAAAUUUAACACAAUUAAAAAUCAAAAACACCUGCAGCAUGUGGAAGUGUUCAAGCAAUUGACAUUUGAACAUAAAGGUAGACAGAUGAUGAAACAAUACUCACAUGUGUGUAUUCUUUAUCCUCUGCAAAGAAUGACCAAUAUUACUGCGGUUUACUGAAAAGUUUUGACUGGCUCCACAU